rnacentral:tRNA from 1 species
GGUACCAUAGCUCAGUUGGUAGAGCAAAGGACUGAAAAUCCUUGUGUCGCUGGUUCGAUCCCGGCUGGUACCA